rnacentral:rRNA from 1 species
GACGAACGCUGGCGGCGUGCUUAACACAUGCAAGUCGAACGGAAAGGCCCUGCUUUUGUGGGGUGCUCGAGUGGCGAACGGGUGAGUAACACGUGAGUAACCUGCCCUUGACUUUGGGAUAACUUCAGGAAACUGGGGCUAAUACCGGAUAGGAGCUCCUGCUGCAUGGUGGGGGUUGGAAAGUUUCGGCGGUUGGGGAUGGACUCGCGGCUUAUCAGCUUGUUGGUGGGGUAGUGGCUUACCAAGGCUUUGACGGGUAGCCGGCCUGAGAGGGUGACCAGCCACAUUGGGACUGAGAUACGGCCCAGACUCCUACGGGAGGCAGCAGUGGGGAAUAUUGCACAAUGGGCGGAAGCCUGAUGCAGCAACGCCGCGUGCGGGAUGACGGCCUUCGAGUUGUAAACCGCUUUCGCCUGUGACGAAGCGUGAGUGACGGUAAUGGGUAAAGAAGCACCGGCUAACUACGUG